CACCUCGGUCGCUAAUCCCUGGCAGCACGGAUUUCCCUCGGCUGCGGAACAACCUGCUGGAUCGACUGAAAAUGUCCGAGUCCCGAAAUCGAGCUAACUCCAACUAUAAACAUCGAAAAUCCUCAAUUCAGUCCAAAAUCCACAACAGCAGAGUAAAACAGAGCUUCGACCAAGCUAACCUUCACCAAAUCCCGCAAGUAAGGGCUUCGUGGAUUCCUCUCGAAGUCCUGAAUCCAGCGAACCAAGUCUCGUCAAAAUUCGAUGCUCCAGCGUCGAGUACGAGCUGAAAUACUAACAGUCGACGAUGAAUUUCAGC
rnacentral:lncRNA from 1 species